CUGCCACAGAAAAUAGAUCUUGAAUUAUUGCAGUGACAAAAACCAUAUGGAAAAAGCACAACACGCCUCUGCACAUAUAUUUAAACAUGGUUUCUUUUUUAUAGUAAUAACUUAAUCCCAAUUGAGUUUUACGACAAACUAUACCCUUCAUUGCUUUAGGUUUUCUACAAAUCCACAAAUGGUUUACAGAAGAAUUGAAAUUAUGGCUCUUUUCUUAGUGAUGACUCUUCUCAUUUCCUCACAAGUUGCAGACACUCGACAGCUCAAUCGAGUCCCAUCUAAAGAAGGUGAGAUGGUUAUGGGAAGUGAUGCACGUUUUGAGUGUCCCAAUGGAUGUUGUGGUAUAUUCAGCCCUUAUUGCCGCUGCUGUCCUAACCCCAACACACACAAUUCUACCAAUCUACACACUUGAUGUUUUCUUAUACUAUUAAAAUUAAGGUGUUUUACAAAAAUUCAAAUAAAGGGAAGUAAAGUUGUAUAACUAAAUGUUCGAUUUAUGAAUGAGUUGAUUUACUGUUGGUCCGAA